GAGGGGAAGGUUACACCAACAAGAACUGCUAAUUCUUGCUCCUGAGCCUAAAACCUCAGUCCCCUUA
rnacentral:tRNA from 1 species